rnacentral:rRNA from 1 species
GCCCCUACUCCUACGGGAGGCAGCAGUGGGGAAUAUUGCACAAUGGGCGCAAGCCUGAUGCAGCGACGCCGCGUGAGGGAUGACGGCCUUCGGGUUGUAAACCUCUUUCAGUAGGGAAGAAGCCUUUCGGGGUGACGGUACUUGCAGAAGAAGCGCCGGCUAACUACGUGCCAGCAGCCGCGGUAAUACGUAGGGCGCAAGCGUUAUCCGGAAUUAUUGGGCGUAAAGAGCUUGUAGGCGGUUUGUCGCGUCUGCUGUGAAAGACCGGGGCUCAACUCCGGUUCUGCAGUGGGUACGGGCAGACUAGAGUGCAGUAGGGGAGACUGGAAUUCCUGGUGUAGCGGUGAAAUGCGCAGAUAUCAGGAGGAACACCGAUGGCGAAGGCAGGUCUCUGGGCUGUAACUGACGCUGAGGAGCGAAAGCAUGGGGAGCGAACAGGAUUAGAUACCCUGGUAGUCCAUGCCGUAAACGUUGGGCACUAGGUGUGGGGGACAUUCCACGUUUUCCGCGCCGUAGCUAACGCAUUAAGUGCCCCGCCUGGGGAGUACGGCCGCAAGGCUAAAACUCAAAGGAAUUGACGGGGGCCCGCACAAGCGGCGGAGCAUGCGGAUUAAUUUGAUGCAACGCGAAGAACCUUACCAAGGCUUGACAUGGACCGGAAAGACCCUGAAACCACGUGCCCCCG